GAUUCUGGCUCAGAACGAACGCUGGCGGCAGGCUUAACACAUGCAAGUUGAACGGGAUUUGUGUGUGCUUGCACGCACGAAUGAGAGUAGCGCACUGGUGAGUAACACGUGGGAACAUGCCUUUUGGUGGGGGACAACAGAGGGAAACUUCUGCUAAUACCGCAUAAGCCCUAAGGGGGAAAGAUUAAUUGCCGAAAGAUUGGCCCGCGGAAGAUUAGGUAGUUGGUGGGGUAAAGGCCUACCAAGCCGACGAUCUAUAGCUGGUCUGAGAGGACGAACAGCCACAUUGGAACUGAGACACGGUCCAGACUCCUACGGGAGGCAGCAGUGAGGAAUAUUGGGCAAUGGAGGAAACUCUGACCCAGCCAUGCCGCGUGAGUGAAGAAGGUUUUCGAAUUGUAAAGCUCUUUCGGAUACGAGGAUGAUGACGGUAGUAUCUAAAGAAGCCCCGGCAAACUUCGUGCCAGCCGCGGC
rnacentral:rRNA from 1 species